rnacentral:rRNA from 1 species
GCUAGCAGUCAUAUCACCCUGUGACUCACAACUGGGAGCCCACUGAAGCCAAGCAGGUGUGAGCCUGGCCAGUACCUGGAUGGGAGACCUCCUGCGAAAAACUAAGGUUGCUGCUGGAA